AAAUAGGGUUGAAAAGACUUCAAUUCGAAGACAUUCUUUACAGAGGGACUGAAGACCAAAACAUUCUCAGAUAUGGUCCAUCUCUUUGCAAUCAUCAAAUUAAAUCAACAUGUCUUCAACAUUCAGUGGUGAUAAAACCGCUCAUUUCUUCGGCUUCCUCGGCGCUGCUACUGCCCUUGUCAUCUCCUAUAAGAACCAAAAACAUAUCAAAUUAAUCCAGUUUUUUAGUGAUUGAUUUGGCUUUUCGAUCUGGGGUUUUAAUUGGGUGUAUCGCAGGUAUGGUAGCUGCAUAGGAAACAACAAAAAGUGGAUUUAGUGUGGCAGUGAUGAGGCUAGAACUGGUGAUGAAGUCUAUUGUGCCGGUGGUCAUGGCUGGAGUGUUGGGUAUUUACGAUUUGAUUAUUGUUGUUGUUAUUAGUAUUAGGAUUAACCCUAAGGCUAAAUCUUAUUGCCUCUUUGAUGACUAUGCCCAUCUUUCUUUUGGUCUCACUUAUGGCCUCGCUAGUCUCUCUACGGGUAUGGCGAUUGGAAUCGUUGGUGAUGCUGGUGUUAGGUAUUUAAGCACCGUUUGGAGCGGCUUAAAGAACCACCAAAAAUGGCCACAAAAGAUCAGCUUGUUUAGUGUAUGUGGAUGGAGACUUUGCACCAAUAGUUGAACUUGUGAAAGUUCGCAAGAAGUAAAUUAGAACGAUGCUGCAAAAUGCUUGGUUUGGGCAGACAAAUACUUAAUACUUAUCCCAAUUUGUAUUGACAUGAAGCACAUUUAUCUUAUUACUUUCUCAGCACAUACACAAAGUCACACAAUUGAGUAACAACAAGAUUGAAGAAGAGCUCAAGGCGAAGAUGCCUUCACUGGACAAAAAGUACGCCAUGGAACCCGAGGAAGUGGGUCAUGAACUACUACUUUACAGUAAGCUCUUAUCAUCACAUGUUGAGAUUCCUGAAAACGUGUUAUUGGAACCUUCUAAGAAAGGGCGGUGCUGGAAUGAGCUUAAGAGUAGAGGGAUGCUCAAGGUGGGUAAGAGGAAGAAAGUUUAGUUCUUGAGAAAUGACGAGACAAAGAAAUUGUUAAAGAAGCAAGAGGAUGAUGUGGUUGUUAUACAUACAAAUGGAAUAGCAGUGGUGGUGGUCUCAUUUUGGUUGUUAGGAACCACAUUGAGGUUAAUAAGAGAAGUUUUGGUGCUAGUAGUAAUGACAUUGAAGCAUUCAUAUUUUGUAAAAAAAAAAAAUUAGUUGAUAACAUUUUAAAUUACUAGGAUGAAGGAUUUUA